rnacentral:lncRNA from 1 species
UCUUCAUUGACUUCAUAUUUACUAGUAAAAUAGAGUUCUUCUGAGAAUAGACUACUUUAUGUGAGAAUCAGACUCAAGCCUCAAAUAUCUCUUCCACAACACACACACACACCCACACCCCACCACAUACCUCUGCCUAUAACACAGACAACUAUUUUCUGUUUAUUAUGUUUAAUGGGCCCAGAAGAUACUUUACAAAUACUCAAGAACAUUUACAGCUUUAACUAUUUGAUCGAGUAAAUGCAAUUAGGACUUCUAACAAGUAAAUUCUUCCAUUGAGUACAGGGCAGGCCAGAAACCACUAACCUAAGAAUUAAAGUGACCUUUCAGUUCUAGUUUUACUACCAAAAAGUUGGUGACUUUAGGAAAGUCAAUCUCUUUAAACAUAAUGUUCCUUUCCCAUAAAUGAGAAGUUUGACUUUGAUACUAAGGUUUCUUCUAGUUCUGCAACUUUAUACUAAGAUGCUUUUCAAUUCUCAUACACUUCUGAUUCACUCAAUAUUCCAUAGCAUGUAAAUGAAUAAAGAAAUUUAUAAUCGGAAAAACUUGAUAUUCUCAAGGUUUCCCACCAUCACCACUAAAAUGAAGCACCUCAACAAGCACAUUAAUUUAUUUUAGGCAAGUUCUAGUUAAGAAGUUGUAAUUUGGAGCGGGUUAUAAAGUGGAGGAGAGGGCAGCCCUGGUUGCCCAAUGGUUUGGUGCCGCCUUCAGCCAGGGCGUGAUACUGGAGACCUGGGGUUGAGUCCCAGGUUGGGCUCCCUGCAUGGAGCCUACUUUUCCCUCUGCCUGUGUCUCUGCUUCUCUGUCUCUCAUGAAUAAAUAAAUAAAUAAUUUAUAAUAAUAAUAAUAAUAAUAAUAAUAAUAAUAAUAAUAAGGGCAGCCCCAGUGGCGCAGCAGUUUAGCGCCACCUGCAGCCUGGGGUGUGGUCCUGGAGACCCGGGAUGGAGUCCCACAUCAGGCUCCCUGCAUGGAGCCUGCUUCUCCCUCUGCCUGUGUCUCUGUCUCUGUCUCUCCCUCUCCAUGUUGUGUCUCACAUUAAUAAAUAAAAUCUAAAAUAAAUAAAUAAAUAAAUAAAAUAAAAUAACAAAGUGGAGGAGAGUCAAUGUGUUUAUGAGAGAGAAAGAGAGAGAGGGAGGGAGAGACAGGGAGAGAGAGAUAGAUUCCGGUUUCUCACAGCUCUACUUUCCAAAAUGAGGGACUUCUUAUCUCCUGGCCACUGACGGGAAACAAUGCUUCAUUUCAAAAAUUGUAGUAAAAUACACAUUUAAAGCAUUUUUAAAUGUUUAUUUCUGUGACAUUAAGUACAUUUACACUGUUGUGCAAACAUCACCACCAGUCUUUUCCAGACCUUUCAUCUUUCCCAUCUGGAACUCUAUACCCAUUAAUCAAUGACUCCUUGUUCCUUCCUUCCCUUAGCUUCUGGCAACCACUAUUCUACUUUUGUUUCUAUGAAUCUGACUAGUCUAGGUAUCUAAGUGGAAUUAUAUACUAUUUGUGCUUUGGAGACUGGAUUGUUCCACUUAAUAUCUUCAAGUUUAUCAUGUUGUAGCACGUGUUAGAAUUUUCUUUUCUUUAAAGGCUGAACAAUAUUCAAGGGCUCCAAAAUGGCUCAGAUUCCAAGUUGGUUUAUGAACCACUAAUACCAAUUCCAUCUCCAUUUCCAUGCUAACACAUACUCCAGGAAGAGUGCCAAGCUUUCACAGAAACAAAAUCAUUCAACUCCACAUUUAAGGCUUAGAGAUAGAAUUCUUUUACCAAUGGCUGAUAGGACAGACCUCAGCUCUUACUCUUUCUUGCAACAAACAACCUCUCAUUUUGAAUUUUGGAUUUGUAUUAGGUCCUGUUUAUUUUUACUUCAUUAUUAAAGCAACCCUCUGAAAUAGGCAGUAUUCAUUCCCAUUACACAUCAUUGCAAGGAUAUCUUCAUCUGUCCUCCAGUAGCUGACACUGAAUGGCAAAUCUGUAAACUCCAGAAGUCUACUAUAGAUUAGGCAUUGCUUAAUUAAGACUCAUUAUGGGGAUCCCUGGGUGGCGCAGCAGUUUGGCGCCUGCCUUUGGCCCAGGGCGCGAUCCUGGAGACCCGGGAUCGAAUCCCACAUCGGGCUCCCAGUGCAUGGAGCCUGCUUCUCCCUCUGCCUGUGUCUCUGCCUCUCUCUCUCUGUGACUAUCAUAAUAAAAAAAAAAUUUAAAAAAAAAAAGACUCAUUAUGUUAGGAGUUUUUGUGUAGUAGGCAGUAUUGUUCUGUGAGAUAUCAUCCAUUUCUGACUUCUCAGGGACAGCUACUACCAAACUGUUUUUGCCUUUUUAAAAAUGCUUUAUUGAGGUAUAAUUGACCAUAAGCUGCACAUAAUUAAAGUGCACAAUUUGAUUUUUUUCUAAUUGAAGUAUAGUUGACUGUAGUAAUUUAUAAAAAGAGUUAAAACACAGGGAAAGAAUAGCAAGAGACAAUGGAGAUCAUAAAAAAAAUCUUUAGGUAAAAAAUAUAACAGUAAAUCCAAUUAUUGACUAUAAGAAAAACAGAACUAAUUUUUCUUUAGCACAAGAACACACUCCAACUAAAUUAUAUGAAGUUAACAUAAAACAUUAGACAAGAAGUAUGAAAGCAGAUGAUGAAAGGCCAUUCUCAAUCAUGAAUGUAAAUGAAAAACCCUAUGCAAACUAUAAGCAAAGUGAGUCUAGCAUUGCAUAAAGAAAUAUUACAUUACCACAAAAUUAGGGUUAUUCCAUGAAUGCCACGUUGGUUUUGUAAAAUUUAUCCCAUUAAAGGUUUUAGAAAACUAGAAUAAGAAGGAAGGAAAUUUCCCUAAUCACUGAAUGAUAUCCAUAAAAAUUCUGUAGGAAAAUUUAUACUUAAAAAAAAAAAAAAAAAAAACAAAAAACACUAGCUCAGUGGUGGAGUAUCUGCCUUCCAACUCAGGGAGUGAUCCUAGGGCCCUGGGAUCAGUCCCACAUCAGGCUCCCUGCAGGGAGCCUGCUUCUUCCUCUGCCUAUGUCUCUGCUUCUCUCUCUGUGUCUCUCACAAAUAAAUAAAAUCUAAAUAUACUGUUAGUGUUUCACCAUUAAGACCAUGAGCUUACAUGGUUAUGGACAGUGUGCUGGAAUGCUGGCCAGUGCAGCAAAGCAAGAAGAAGCAAUAAAAGAAUAUAAGAAUUUACAAAGUUGUUGUGUACUAGUAAGUCAGUACACAAAAACAUUGCAUUUCUAUACAUCAACAGAACUAGAAAAUAGGAUUUUUAAAAAGAUGUAAACAGGGAUACCUUGGUUAAGGAAUGCAGAUAGUCAAAAGAUUUCGGUUCUUUCCAAACUGAUUUCUAGAUUCAGUGCUACUCAUUGACAUCCCAUGGGAGUAUCACUUAAACUCAUUAAUGUAUCAAAGUUAAUCCAAAUGACAAAUCCCCAAGGGUUGUUAGUAUAGGUGUUACUGCAAACUGAUGCCACCUUUGAGAAGUUUGGUGGUCCACCUCAGGCAUGCUUCUAGAAAUAGAAAUUUGCUAAUACUGAAGCAUAUAUCCAAAGACUUCCUAGACUCUACAUAUUUAAAGCCCAUUGAAAUACAUCACCUCUAUGUAAUAAGUAAAAUUUACCUUACCUUUAAUAAAAAAGUGACCUCAUCUUCAGAAGAAAGCAGCAAAGCUGUGAACAUAUACAUGCCAAUUCAGAUCCCCCCCCCUUUUUUUUGCCAUCUGGUGGCUAAAACCACUCUCUCUUCUUUCCUCUGAUACAUACUCUCAUAUUCUGAACUAACCUUUAUUUUAUCCAUUCUUAGAUUUUUAAAAUUUUUUGGUUUUUGUAUAUGAAAUGGGAAGAUCUUUCAUCUGUAUUUUUCUUCUUCCACUGGACUCAUGAUACUCUCCACAUCCACAUUAUAGCAAAACACUUCAUUCUUACACUUUUUUUAGAGACAGAGAGAGAGCACACAAGUGUGCAUGGGGGAGAUAGAGAAUCUUAACCAGGCUCCAUGCUGGGUGUAGAGUCCAACAUGGGGCUCAAUCCCACAACCUGAGAUCAUUUAACUCCAAAAUUAAGAGCAUGAAUUCUGGACACAAACUGCUGAAUAUGAAUCUUGACUUUACUAUAUUUGUGAUCUUGAAUGUUAAGUAUCUGCAAUGAAAGAUGUGUGAUAAGGCUCAAAGCAGUAAGGAGAGACACCCUUGGGGUUAGUAAAUAAUUGGUGAUUUACAAAGUAGUUCAGUUGAUUAAUUAUAUAAUAAAGAAGAAACAUUUUUAAGCCCCAAAAGUCCAGCUUCUUGAAACAGUAUUUCCUGGGUCCUUCAUAUACAUUUCCAUACUUUUAGAAGAUACCUUUUAGUAAUACAUAGAGUGGAAAUUGGAACUUUUUAGUGAUGAUUCACCAAAUACUACAGAUAUAAAAUAUCUAAAAUUUUUUCAGUUUAGAGAGAGCAAAUGUUUAAAUUUAAAUUUUUUGAAAAUUUAAAAAUAUGAAGUUUUAUUUUAGGAACUUAAGAAGUAUUUUUGCUAUAAUCCAAUAUUGAUCUGUAAGGUAGAAAAGUGCUACACUACCUUCCUUUGCAGUCUGGCUAAUCUGAAGAAUUUAUCAAGCCCUUCUGCCUCUAUAAUACCGAUCUUGCCAAUAUUCUAAUGCUUAAUGAAUUGUUUCUUCUUUUUUCUUAUACUACCCCAAAUGGCAAUGUAUCAGGAUACUGUGAUAUAUUGCUCUCAGACUUGACAUUGGACAAAUCCAUAUCUGGAUAGUUCUGAGCUAGAUACUAUUUAAUCAAUUCCAUGCAAAAUCAGUUUGUGUAUUAUCAACUUAGGGUCAAACCUGAAAAUUACCUUAGAUACCACCGCUAUUAAGAAUAUGGUUCUAAUGCUCACUUCAGCAGCACAUAUACUAAGAAUAUGUUUCUAUGGCCCCUGAAACUAUAUGCAAAGUUUUUAGAUGGGUCCUAAACACUUACUAACAGAAUGACCUGAAAACAAUCUUCUCAAAAAUCUGGAAGUUUGGGGAUCCCUGGGUGGCGCAGCAGUUUGGCGCCUGCCUUUGGCCCAGGGCGCGAUCCUGGAGACCCCGGGAUCGAAUCCCACAUCGGGCUCCCGGUGCAUGGAGCCUGCUUCUCCCUCUCCCUCUGCCUGUGUCUCUGCCUCUCUCUCUCUCUCUCUCUGUGACUAUCAUAAAUAAAUAGAUAAAAAAAUAAAAAAAUUGUUAAAUAAAAUCUGGAAGUUUAAGAUUUCUGUAACAUUAAAAAAAAAAUUCUGUAACAUACUCAUUUUAUGCUUCUGAAGUCUUACCAUACACCCAAUCUAGAAUGACUACAGCAUUUUAAUUUUUAUAGAGGUAUCUGAAAAGCUUUAAGAACUCAUCCCCUUUACACAUAUCUGAUUUGUGGUUAAGAUGGAUUAUCUCCAAUGUUGCACAGGCUUUUCUGUCACAAAUCAACCUGGAUGUUAACCUACCUAUACUUUGAUUCUAUAAAUACUCUCUCUCCCAUAAUUCACUGCUAUUUAAUUAAUAUUCUCAGCUCUAGGUUACUUUGUACUUUGGAAUUUCUACUUUGUACUCCUGACUUCCUUUUUCUCCUUUGGCACUGCACACAAACUAGGUUCAAUUCUGGUAGCGGACUUUUUAUUCUUGGUUUGGAGAUAUGCCUUUAACUGUGCAUUAAGGAAUAUCCCUAGUCCUGUCACCCAGUGGAGGUUCCAGAGAACUUGGUCAAGACAUGAUACUUCUAAAAAAUAGAUUUACAGAUACUGGGGAGAGGAGAGGGUUAGAAUUUUAGUCUGUGAAUAUAUAUUUAGAUGCCAGAUUUUUAGAGUAAGGCUGCCAGCUUUUCAUAGAAGAUCUAUGUACUAAAAUCAUCAUACUAGUAUCAACAGAAGAAACAGGAAUAUACAUUCUCUUAUCCUGAAAGACAUAUACAAACCCCUUCCUCAGAACAAGAGACUAUCACUCCCUACCUUUUAAAAGGUAAAAAAAAAAAAAAAAAAAAA